rnacentral:rRNA from 1 species
UACAGAGGGUGCAAGCGUUAAUCGGAAUUACUGGGCGUAAAGCGUGCGUAGUCGGUUAUUUAAGUCGGGUGUGAAAUCCCCGGGCUCAACCUGGGAAUUGCAUUCGAUACUGGAUAGCUAGAGUUCGGCAGAGGGAAGCGGAAUUUCGGGUGUAGCGGUGAAAUGCGUAGAUAUCCGAAGGAACAUCAGUGGCGAAAGCGGCUUCCUGGACCAGAACUGACGAUCAGGCACGAAAGCGUGGGGAGCAAACAGGAUUAGAAACCCCGGUAGUCC